CAAUCGAUUUAGUUUGCUCGAAAACUCAUUACUCGUUUUCGGUUUCAAUUCGUUUUCGUUUUCGGUUUCAAUCGAUGUAGUUAGUGUUUCAAUUCAUUUUCAGUUUCAAACGAACUUCUAGUUUGUUCUUACGGUUUCAAAACACCAAUUGUCCCACCAAUAAUCAACUACUUAUACAAAAGCCCUUAGCUCAGUUUCUAAACACAAAAAUAAUAAUAAAAAAUAAUAAGGGCCCUUAAUCAAAUCCCUCCAAAUACUAAGCACACAUGUAAACGGCGAGAUAUAGCACAUAAUGGAUGGAAGAUAUAUACGUAAGCAGAGAGUAAGAAAUGUGAACGAGACUCAAAAGUUCAAAACUCUAUACAUUACCAAUUACAAAAUGUGUUCCCCAGGAGUCGAUUCCAAUAAAAAGCUAUUCGAUUUGACCCUUA
rnacentral:lncRNA from 1 species